rnacentral:rRNA from 1 species
GACGAACGCUGGCGGCGUGCUUAACACAUGCAAGUCGAACGGAAAGGCCCUGCUUUUGUGGGGUGCUCGAGUGGCGAACGGGGGAGUAACACGUGAGUAACCUGCCCUUGACUUUGGGAUAACUUCAGGAAACUGGGGCUAAUACCGGAUAGGAGCUCCUGCUGCAUGGUGGGGGUUGGAAAGUUUCGGCGGUUGGGGAUGGACUCGCGGCUUAUCAGCUUGUUGGUGGGGUAGGGGCUUACCAAGGCUUUGACGGGUAGCCGGCCUGAGAGGGUGACCGGCCACAUUGGGACUGCGAUACGGCCCAGACUCCUACGGGAGGCAGCAGUGGGGAAUCUUGCACAAUGGGCGGAAGCCUGAUGAAGCAACGCCGCGUGCGGGAUGCCGGCCUUCGGGUUGUAAACCGCUUUCGCCUGUGACGAAGCGUGAGUGACGGUAAUGGGUAAAGAAGCACCGGCUAACUACGUG